GUUAAGUUUUUGCUCUAGCCAUAAAGAUGAAUUGACGCUUUAUUAGGCUGUAACUAUUUUGUUUUAUUUCUUUAAGUUUAAAGGUUUUUGAUUUUAUUGUAUUAAAAAACUACACCACCAUUUUUUGGAAAUUGAGUUUUGGACAUGAAAAAGAUCGUGUCUUUCAAAGGUAAAACGACACAAUCAUUUUUUCACAGUUAAUAAUCAAAACCGCACCACAAUAACAGAAAAAAAAAAAAUUAAAGUGAACCAAAAAAACCCGCACCAAUCAGUUUUACACAUAUAAAAACUGCACCUAUCAGUUUGACAUUCAAUUUUGUCCAAAAACCGCAUCGAACGGUAUCAUAAUCACCCUAGCCAAAGGAGAAAUCGGAGGCGAAGAAGUACAGAAACAAGAGAGUUUUUCCACUAGUUGAAAACUGGGAUCAAUUGAUGUUGUUAUCGCAAUUGUCUUGACAUGGAUGACGCUGAAAGGGAAUAACUUAUUUUACUUUUAAAAUUGCGUAAUCUAGAAGAAGAUGAAGCAGUAACUAAUUAUUACUACACUCAUAUUUACAAAGAGUCUUGUAAGAAAUCAGAGGAAACAGAAGAAGCAUAGAUGAAGGAGAUUUUGAAUGGUAAUCCAAAUCAAUGUAUUGGUGCUUUUCGAAGGAGUGCUAGUCCAUUUUCAAAACUUUGUGAAAAAAAUUAUGGGUUGACUUCAAGUGAUCGAAUGUCGGUAAAAGAAAAGGUUGGAAUAUUUGUGUAUAUACUAGUUCUUUCAAAUCGGGAUGGUAGUGAGAGGUUUCAAUGGCAAAAUAAUUAGUCGAACUUUUCUUGAGGUGUUAGAAUCUAUAUAUGGACAAAGCAAAGGAUAAUUGGGUCUUGCACGUGAGUAUAUUAGAGCGAAAGAUGCAACAUUCCAACUCAUACCGCCCCAUAUUGAAAAUUACAGUCAAUAUAUUCCUUAUUUUAAGGAUUGUAUUGAGUGCAUCCAUGGUACUCAUAUAGAUGCUUAUAUCCGAGUGGUCAACCAAAUGAUAUAUAUGGGCGAAAAGGAUUCCUUAUAUUUAAUCUAAUGGUUAUAUGUGACUUUGACAUGUGUUUUAUGUUCAUAUAUAUUGGACGAGAAUGUUCGAUGCAUGACACUAGGGUGUUCCUUCAAUUGCGACACAUUCUAUGAAUUUUCCUAAACCCCUGAAGGUACAACUAGUCUAGUAUUUCUACUACUUGAAUUUAAUUUUUCCUUAUCUUUUAUUCAUAUAGGAAAAUAUUAUGUAGUAAACAAAGGAUACCUUAACCGAAAAGGAUCUUUGGCACUAUAUCCACAUCUUAGAUAUCACCAAUUACAAUUUGAACAUAUGCUUCCAACUAAUGCUCAAGCGUUCAAUUGUGCACAUUCAUCUGUUCGAAGUUGCAUUGAGUGUUCAUUUGGAGUGCUGAAGAAAAAGUGGAAAAUAUUGAACAAAAUAUCAAGCUUUGGUGAUAAGACUCAAAUAGACGUGACAGUGGCAACAUAUACCCUUCAUAACUAUAUUCGAAUGAAUGGGUACAAUAGGAUUUUCAACUUUGUUUAGGAACAUUACAUACUUAUUGAUCAAGAAGGUGAUCAUUUAAUAUUUAGGCAUGAUAACAUUCAAGAGUCACAACAUGAGAUGUGAGAGAUUCAUGAUAGUAUUGAAAAUAUGAUAGGGGAUGCAAGAAAUUUGAAAUAAAUAUAAAUAAUUGGAGAGCAAGUAUUUAAUAUUUACUUUAUUUUUAUUUAAUAUAUUACAUAUUUUUCAUAUAAUAUGGAAUCAUUUUUCGGAUGCCCUUUUAUGUCAUUUUAUGUUUUCCAGCUAGCUUAUCAACUAAUUUCUACCGAACGUCAUUUUUUAUUAGCUAGAGUUUCAGCUACCAACUAGUUUUUUAACUACCAUCUAGUGUUAAAUGCCAUUUUAUGUAUCUUUCAUAGUAGUUUUAUUAGUGUUUUUGCAUCAAAUCAUAUGCUUUUUCAUGUGCAUGAGUUUAAAUAAUGUUCGACUCAUGUUCAUUGCUAAAU